rnacentral:rRNA from 1 species
UACGUAGGGGGCUAGCGUUGUCCGGAAUCAUUGGGCGUAAAGCGCGCGUAGGCGGCCCGGUAAGUCCGCUGUAAAAGUCAAAGGCUCAACCUUUGAAUGUCAGUGGAUACUGCCGGGCUAGAGUCCGGAAGAGGCGAGUGGAACUCCUGGUGUAGCGGUGGAAUGCGCAGAUAUCAGGAAGAACACCGAUGGCGAAGGCAGGUCUCUGGGCCAUAACUGACGCUGAGAAGCGAAAGCAUGGGGAGCGAACAGG